GAUUAACGCUAGCGGCAGGCCUAAUACAUGCAAGUCGAACGGUAACAGGUGUAGCAAUACAUGCUGACGAGUGGCGCACGGGUGCGUAACGCGUAUGCAACCUACCUAUAACUGGGGAAUAGCCUUCUGAAAGGAAGAUUAACACCGCAUAAUAUCACUGAGCGGCAUCACUUGGUGAUCAAUCUCCGGAGGUUAUAGAUGGGCAUGCGUGACAUUAGCUAGUUGGUGAGGUAACGGCUCACCAAGGCUACGAUGUCUAGGGGGUCUGAGAGGAUGAUCCCCCACACUGGUACUGAGAAAAGGACCAGACUCCUACGGGAGGCAGCAGUAAGGAAUAUUGGACAAUGGGCGCAAGCCUGAUCCAGCCAUGCCGCGUGAAGGAUGACGGCCCUCUGGGUUGUAAACUUCUUUUAUACGGGAAUAAACCCUUGAUUUCUAUCGAGGCUGAAUGUACCGUAAGAAUAAGGAUCGGCUAACUUCGUGCCAGCAGCCGCCGUAAUAC
rnacentral:rRNA from 1 species